rnacentral:rRNA from 1 species
GACGAACGCUGGCGGCGUGCUUAACACAUGCAAGUCGAACGGAAAGGCCCUGCUUUUGUGGGGUGCUCGAGUGGCGAACGGGUGAGUAACACGUGAGUAACCUGCCCUUGACUUUGGGAUAACUUCAGGAAACUGGGGCUAAUACCGGAUAGGAGCUCCUGCUGCAUGGUGGGGGUUGGAAAGUUUCGGCGGUUGGGGAUGGACUCGCGGCUUAUCAGCUUGUUGGUGGGGUAGUGGCUUACCAAGGCUUUGACGGGUAGCCGGCCUGAGAGGGUGACCGGCAAAAUGGGGAAUAGGAUAGGGCCAAGACCCCUAGGGGAGGAAGGAGGGGGGAAAAUUGCAAAAUGGGGGGAAGCGUGAGGAAGCAACGCCGGGGGGGGGAGAACGGCCUUGGGGUUGAAAACCGUUUUGGCCUGUGACGAAGCGGGGGGGAGGGAAAUGGGAAAAAAAGCACCGGAAAAAUAGGU